GGUCUGGUAGCUCAACUGGAAGAGCAGAUCCGUCCUAAGGAUAAGGUUGUAGGUUCAAGUCCUAUCCAGACUACCA
rnacentral:tRNA from 1 species